CCUACGGGAGGCAGCAGUAGGGAAUAUUGGGCAAUGGAGGAAACUCUGACCCAGCGACGCCGCGUGCGGGAUGAAGGCCUUCGGGUUGUAAACCGCUUUCAGUAGGGAAGAAGCGAAAGUGACGGUACCUACAAAAGAAGCACCGGCUAACUAUGUGCCAGCAGCCGCGGUAAUACAUAGGGUGCAAGCGUUGUCCGGAAUUAUUGGGCGUAAAGAGCUCGUAGGUCGUUUGUUACGUCGGAUGUGAAAACCUGAGGCUCAACCUCAGGCCUGCAUUCGAUACGGGCAAACUAGAGUUUGGUAGGGGAGACUGGAAUUCCUGGUGUAGCGGUGGAAUGCGCAGAUAUCAGGAGGAACACCAAUGGCGAAGGCAGGUCUCUGGGCCAAUACUGACACUGAGGAGCGAAAGUCUGGGGAGCGAACAGGAUUAGAUACCCUGGUAGUCCAGACCGUAAACGGUGGGCACUAGUUGUGGGAACCUUCCACGGUUUCUGCGACGCAGCUAACGCAUUAAGUGCCCCGCCUGGGGAGUACGAUCGCAAGAUUAAAACUCAAAGGAAUUGACGG
rnacentral:rRNA from 1 species